rfam:Cavia porcellus supercont2_13 genomic scaffold, whole genome shotgun sequence.
GGGGAUUUAGCUCAGCGGCAUAAGCGCCUGCCUUGCAAGCAGGCAGUCCUGGGUUCGAUCCCCAGUACCGACA